GACAGAGGGUGCAAACGUUGCUCGGAAUUACUGGGCGUAAAGCGCGUGUAGGUGGAUUGGUGUGUCAGAUGUGAAAUCCCUGGGCUCAACCCAGGAACUGCACCUGAAACUACCAAUCUUGAGUGGUGGAGAGGGAAGUGGAAUUCCUGGUGUAGAGGUGAAAUUCGUAGAUAUCAGGAGGAACACCAGUGGCGAAGGCGGCUUCCUGGACACCAACUGACGCUGAGGCAUGAAAGCGUGGGGAGCAAACAGG
rnacentral:rRNA from 1 species